rnacentral:rRNA from 1 species
UAACGCGAAGAACCUUACCAGGACUUGACAUGUAGGGAAAAGCCGUGGAGACACGGUGUCCGCAAGGGCCCUACACAGGUGUUGCAUGGCUGUCGUCAGCUCGUGUCGUGAGAUGUUGGGUUAAGUCCCGCAACGAGCGCAACCCUUAUCAAUAGUUGCCAGCGGUUCGGCCGGGCACUCUAUUGAGACUGCCGUUGACAAAACGGAGGAAGGUGGGGAUGACGUCAAGUCCUCAUGGCCUUUAUGUCCAGGGCUACACACGUGCUACAAUGGCCGGUACAAAGCGCUGCAAACCUGCAAGGGGGAGCCAAUCGCAAAAAGCCGGUCUCAGUUCGGAUUGGAGUCUGCAACUCGACUCCAUGAAGUUGGAAUCGCUAGUAAUCGCAGAUCAGCACGCUGCGGUGAAUACGUUCCCGGGUCUUGUACACACCGA